rnacentral:rRNA from 1 species
UACGGGGGGAGCAAGCGUUGUUCGGAUUUACUGGGCGUAAAGGGCGCGUAGGCGGCACCGCAAGUCAGUUGUGAAAUCUCUGGGCUUAACCCAGAAAGGUCAACUGAUACUGCGGGGCUAGAGUGCAGAAGGGGCAACUGGAAUUCUCGGUGUAGCGGUGAAAUGCGUAGAUAUCAGGAGGAACACCGAUGGCGAAGGCAGGUCUCUGGGCCGAUACUGACGCUGAGGAGCGAAAGCGUGGGGAGCGAACAGG